rnacentral:rRNA from 1 species
GACGAACGCUGGCGGCGUGCUUAACACAUGCCAGUCGAACGGAAAGGCCCUGCUUUUGUGGGGUGCUCGAGUGGCGAACGGGUGAGUAACACGUGAGUAACCUGCCCUUGACUUUGGGAUAACUUCAGGAAACUGGGGCUAAUACCGGAUAGGAGCUCCUGCUGCAUGGUGGGGGUUGGAAAGUUUCGGCGGGUGGGGAUGGACUCGCGGCUUAUCAGCUUGUUGGUGGGGUAGUGGCUUACCAAGGCUUUGACGGGUAGCCGGCCUGGGAGGGUGACCGGCCACAUUGGGACUGAGAUACGGCCCAGACUCCUACGGGAGGCAGCAGUGGGGAAUAUUGCACAAUGGGCGGAAGCCUGAUGCAGCAACGCCGCGUGCGGGAUGACGGCCUUCGGGUUGUAAACCGCUUUCGCCUGUGACGAAGCGUGAGUGACGGUAAUGGGUAAAGAAGCACCGGCUAACUACGUG